AAAUUUUGACGCGAGACCGGUCGCACCACCUCGUCCCUCUUCGCCAACCGGAGCGAGUCCUCCUAAUUCUUCGUCUCGAAUAGAUCCCUCGGCUAAACAGAACGCGACGCCCCCAGAUCUCACGAUGAUGUCCCCAAAGCCUCCCAUGUCCGAUGCCCGAGCUGCUCGCUCGACGUCUUCCAGUUCCAGGCACACUCCCUUGCAGAUAAUACAUGUUAUUGGGAACUUUAUGAGAAUAUGGUCUGUUUACUCCUUGUAUCACUAUCUAUCGCAUCAAGGAGAUAGUGUAGUAGCUUUUAUUUUCAGUUGCUUGGUUCCAGCUUCUAUUAUUUUCCUGGUGCUGCAAAAGCCUUGGAAAGGGAGGCCUUUACCCAAUUCACAGAUAAUACCGACUGUCAUUAAUGGAGGAAUAAUGGCAUUAUAUUUCAUAUUAUGGGGAAAAGGACUUUUAUCAUGUGGACCACUAAUUGCUCUACUGGCCGAGUAUGCAGGUGCUGUUCUUGGGGUCUUAUCUGCAGCAUUAUAUGGACGGCAAGUCCAUAUUUGGAAAAAGGUGGGUGGACUCGUUGCAAUGCUAGCUUCCUACUACUUCUUGUCAAAAGGAUGGGCUACAAGAACAAACUCACCAUUUUAUAGCUUUGGCAAAGAACCACUAGUGCAAGCAAAACAAUCUUUAGGAUUUAAAGAAAUGGCAGUACCCAUUUCUGCUGGAAUUUUAUCGGCUUUGAGACGGGUGAUUGCUCGCCGUGUGUCACUCAAGAAUCAACUUAAAAGGCGACUUCAUGCAAUAUGUAUUGCUUCUGCAACGUGCUUUCUUUUUCCUCUUGCCAUGUGGGACACUAUCUUAGGAUCAACAUCUGAUAGCAUUGUUAAGUUUCAGCUUCCAAGUUGGGCAUACUUGAGUACUGUCUUCUUUGGAAUCAUCUUUGUAUUCUAUGCCGACAACAUUGCGGAAGAAAGAUUGCAUCUUGUUUUCUCUUCUCCACGGCAUCUCAUGAUUUCAGGAGGGUCUAUCAUCCUUAUGGAGAUCUUAUACCAAAUGGAUUUUUCCCUAAUAGGUUUUGUGACUUGCUCUUUAAUAUUGGGAUUUGGUAUUUUUGAAGCAACCUCUUUGGGAAGAUCAAGAAGAGGUCCUUUAGAAUCUCAAGAUGCUUCAGAGGAGGCUUUUCAGAACCAACUGCAGAUGUCUUCACUUCCUAGCUGAUCACAGUAAUCCUUGAUGCCACAUGCACUAGAAGGCAGGGAUUGGUCCAAUGCCACUCCGUUACAAAGUCGCUGUCUCUUGCACCUGGAAAUUCACACUGGGAAUUACUCAUCCCUUUUCCAGCUGGUGCAAAUUUAUGUAUCAGCAUGCACUUAAUUGUCUCGCUAGGGAAGUUAGUCGACUGGAACAAGUUCCACUGACAUCACCAAAUUUGGAUUUAUUUUCAUAGCUGUUCUGUCAUUAUCAUAUCAAUUUGAAUUUGGUGGCGAAGUUGAUGCAUAAUUUUCUUUCCUGAGUAACAUACAGAAGAUUCAUUACGCCUCACCGUAAAUUUUCUCAACCAGUUACCGAGAUAGUCAAGUACAGAGCAGUGCAUAUGAUUUUGCUCAAAACUGAAUUUUCAUCUGUGCGAAAUGAACUCAUGAUUACCAUAGUUUUAGGAUAUUGAUUAGAGCAAUUGUUCCUAUUCUUAUGUACAAUAACUGCCCUGUAAAAAUCUUGGGGUUUAUACUGCAAAAGAGCACUUGAAUGUUCA